rnacentral:lncRNA from 1 species
UUAAAAUUCAGUUAUCUUGGUAUCUACAGGCUAGAGUCUGUGCAGGGGGAGCCUCAAUUUCUAAAUGAUCCAUUGGUAAGAGUUUUUUUAAGCAGCACCAUUUUCCCACAGAAAAAUGUCACAUAAUAGUGUUCAGAUUCCCAAGCCAGCCCAACAUAUCUGAAUUUGAAUACUGAUAGUAUUAUAAAAACUAACUUUUAUGUAUAAUAGUGUCUCAGCAGGAACAUGCACUGAAUACAUCAAGUACUGAAAGAUUAUGACCACAAUCUUGCAUAUAUGGCAGUAGGGCUAUCUUCCAGUUCUAGCAAGGACCGUCAAGCCUUGGGAAGAGAACUCUUUCCUCUGGUAGAGGCCGAGGGAUACUGUCUUCAGCCUUUUCUUCAAGUUUCUAACCGUGAAUUGUGUUGUGUCAAACUGGAUGAAUUAUCUUAGUUGAAUUUUCACCAGUUGAAAAUUGGAGACUACUGAAAAGAAGUUGCUUUCAGAGCUGGAGAUGUGAAUAAAAUUUCUGUGCCAGGGUUGAUCAACCAUCUUGAGGUAUAUUUUUUUUUCUAUUUUUAAAUAACUAUAUUUUUUAGAACAGUUUUAGUUUUACGGAA